UUGGUCGUGCUGACGUGCAGCGCGGCCCAGGCGGGGUGCGAGUGGCGCAGUCGGAGCCCGCUGCGGCCCCUGAGGAAGCGAGGAGGCGUCGGUGUCGGCUGAGGCGGGCGGACCGGCAAAGCAAGGCGGCAGCUCCAGGCCCCGAGGGACUCGGGAGCUUGAGCAGCAGCAGCGGCAGCACCUCUCCCCCUCGGAGGCGGCGGGCGGAGGAGGCGGCGGCGGCGGGAGCGGUGGUGCCCCCCCGGGCACGGGGCCAUGUACAACGGGAUCGGGCUGCCGACGCCCCGGGGCAGCGGCACCAACGGCUACGUCCAGCGCAACCUGUCCCUGGUGCGGGGCCGCCGGGGUGAGCGGCCUGACUACAAGGGAGAGGAGGAACUGCGGCGCCUGGAGGCUGCCCUGGUGAAGCGGCCUAAUCCUGACAUCCUGGACCACGAGCGCAAGCGGCGCGUGGAGCUGCGAUGCCUCGAGCUGGAGGAGAUGAUGGAAGAGCAGGGGUACGAGGAACAGCAAAUUCAGGAAAAGGUGGCUACCUUUCGACUCAUGUUGCUGGAAAAGGAUGUGAACCCUGGGGGCAAGGAAGAGACCCCAGGACAGAGGCCAGCGGUAACUGAGACUCACCAGUUGGCAGAACUGAAUGAGAAGAAAAAUGAGCGACUCCGUGCUGCCUUUGGCAUCAGUGAUUCCUAUGUGGAUGGCAGCUCUUUUGAUCCUCAGCGUCGUGCUCGAGAAGCUAAACAACCAGCUCCAGAGCCUCCCAAACCUUACAGCCUUGUCCGGGAGUCCAGCAGUUCUCGCUCACCCACCCCAAAGCAAAAAAAGAAAAAAAAGAAGAAAGAUAGAGGACGCAGGUCAGAGAGCAGCUCUCCUCGACGAGAGAGGAAGAAGAGUUCUAAGAAGAAGAAGCACAGGUCAGAGUCUGAAUCCAAAAAACGGAAGCAUAGGUCUCCCACUCCAAAGAGCAAACGUAAAUCUAAGGACAAGAAGCGGAAGCGGUCUCGAAGUACAACACCAGCCCCCAAGAGCCGUCGGGCCCACCGUUCAACAUCUGCUGACUCUGCUUCCUCUUCUGAUACUUCCCGCAGUCGGUCUCGAAGUGCAGCAGCAAAAACACAUACAACUGCCUUGACUGGGCGAAGUCCUUCCCCUGUUUCAGGGCGUCGAGGGGAGGGAGAUGCACCUUCUAAGGAACCAGGUACCACCAACAUAGGGCAGCCUAGCAGCCCAGAGCCCUCUACAAAGCAGCCUAGCAGUCCUCAUGAAGACAAAGAUAAAGACAAGGAGAAAUCUGCAGUUCGACCUAGCCCCUCUCCGGAAAGGAGCAGCACAGGCCCAGAACCACCUGCUCCCACUCCGCUCCUUGCUGAGCAACAUGGCGGCUCCCCACAACCCCUUGCAACAAUCACGUUAAGUCAGGAGCCAGUGAACCCCCCAUCUGAGGCUUCCCCACCCCGGGGCCGUUCACUAACUAAGUCUCCUGAGAAACCGCCCCAGUCUUCUUCAGAGAGCUGCCCACCAUCCCCUCAACCUACCAAAGUUUCUCGACAUGCCAGCUCUUCCCCCGAAAGUCCUAAACCUGCACCAGCUCCUGGGUCCCGCCGAGAAAUUUCUUCUUCUCCCACAUCCAAGAGUCGCUCACAUGGCCGUGCAAAGCGGGAUAAGUCACAUUCUCAUACCCCUUCUCGAAGAGUGGGGAGGUCCCGUAGCCCUACUACUACUAAGAGGGGACGAUCUCGGUCUCGAACCCCUACCAAGAGAGGUCAUUCUCGGUCCCGGUCCCCUCAGUGGCGUAGGUCCCGGUCUGCACAGAGGUGGGGAAGAUCCAGAAGCCCCCAGCGACGUGGCCGCUCUAGGUCUCCUCAGCGACCAGGCUGGUCUAGAAGCCGAAAUACACAGAGAAGAGGCAGGUCUAGAUCAGCAAGGCGAGGCAGGUCACACUCUAGAUCCCCAGCCACUAGGGGCAGGUCUCGUUCUAGAACGCCAGCCCGUAGGGCCAGGUCUCGCUCUAGGACACCUGCCAGACGGAGAUCACGAUCCAGAACGCCCACCAGACGUAGGUCUCGCUCUAGAACACCGGCCCGGCGGGGCAGGUCUCGCUCUAGAACACCUGCUAGGCGCAGAUCUAGGACCCGAUCACCAGUACGACGGAGGUCUCGUAGCAGAUCACCAGCCAGGAGAAGUGGCAGGUCACGCUCUAGAACCCCAGCCAGACGUGGUCGUUCACGCUCUAGAACCCCAGCCAGAAGAGGGAGAUCUCGGUCUAGAACACCCGCAAGACGAGGACGGUCUCGGUCUAGGACACCCGCAAGAAGAGGACGGUCUCGGUCUAGGACACCUGCAAGACGAAGAUCUCGUAGUAGAAGUGUAAUUAGACGGGGAAGAUCUCACUCUAGAACGCCACAAAGAAGAGGCAGGUCUGGUUCAUCAUCAGAGCGGAAGAACAAAUCCAGAGCGUCACAGAGAAGGAGCAGGUCCAACUCAAGCCCAGAAAUGAAAAAAUCUCGCAUUUCUUCAAGGCGGAGCAGGUCUCUCUCUUCACCACGGUCCAAAGCAAAAUCUCGCUUGUCUCUGCGGCGAAGCCUUUCAGGGUCAUCUCCGUGUCCUAAACAAAAGUCUCGGACACCACCAAGGCGCAGUCGCUCUGGAUCAUCCCAACCAAAAGCUAAAUCUAGAACACCACCAAGGCGAAGUCGGUCUGGUUCUUCUCCUCCUUCUAAUCAGAAAUCUAAAACACCAUCAAGACAGAGUUGUUCCAGUUCAUCUCCUCAACCUAAAAUGAAGUCUGGAACACCACCAAGGCAAGGGUCUGUAACAAGUCCCCAGGUAAAUGAACAAUCUGCUACGCCACAAAUGCAGAGCCGUUCAGAAUCACCUGAGCCUGAGAUGAAAUCUACAACGCCUUCAAGACAUAGCUGCUCUGGGUCCUCCCCUCCUAGAGUGAAAUCAAGCACAUCUCCAAGACGGAGCCGAUCUGAGUCGUCAUCUCCACAACCCAAAGUGAAGGCAGUAACGUCACCGAUCCAGAGUUGUUCUGGCUCCUCUUCUCCAAGUCCUAGCAGGGUGACAUCCAAAACACCUCCAAGGGAAAGCAGAUCAGAGUCUCCUUGCUCCAAAGUGGAAUCUAGACUGUUGCAAAGACAAAGCCAUUCUAGGUCCUCCUCACCAGAUACCAAAGUGAAACCUGGAACACCACCAAGACAAAGUCACUCAGGAUCUACUUCGCCAUGCCCUAAAGUAAAGCCCCAAACUCUGUCGGGACACAGUCUUUGUGGAUCAAAGUCACCAUGUUCCCAAGAGAAGUCUAAAGACUCAUCAGCACAAAGUUCUGGAUCCUUUUCUCUCUGUCUGGGAGUAAAGUCUAGCACACCACCAGGAGAGCUGUAUUUUGCCACCACCUCUUUGCAACAGAAAGGACAAUCUCAAACUUCACCAGACCCUAGAUCUGAUGCUUCGAGUCCAGAAAUGAAACAGAGUCACUCUGAGUCUCCAUCUCUGCAGAGUAAAUCUCAGACACCUCUUAAGGGUGGCUGGUCCAGGUCCUCAUCUCCAAUCACUGAGCUGGCACCCAAAUCUCCAGCAAGACAAGAAAGAAUCGAAUUGUCAAGUCCUAGGCUAAAAUCUGGAAUGUCUCCUGAACAGAGCAAGUCUCAGUCUGACUCUACCCUUUAUCUUGCAAUGGACUCUAAAUCUCUUCUGGGGCAGAGUAGAUUGGAGCCUUCUGAAUCGAAAGAGAAAACAGGCUUACUCCUUCAGGAGGAUAUUACUGCAUCAUCUCCUAGACCAAGAGACAAAUCAAGUCCUCUUCCAUUGCAGGAUAAGCCUGAUUCCUCACCAGUGCUCAGAGAGACUCCUAAAACCCCAUCAAGGGAAAGAGGUGGUGGUGUUGGAUCAUCUCCAGAUACAAAAGACCAAAGUGCGUUAGCUAAGCCAAGCCAAGAUGAGGAAUUAAUGGAGGUGGUAGAGAAAUCUGAAGAAGCCUCAAACCAGGUCCCCUCCCAUUUGUCUCUGGAACUUAAAGAAGUGGCUGGAAGUAAUUUUGAAUCAUCUCCUGAAAUAGAAGAAAGACCCACUGUGUCUUUAACUGUUGACCAAAGCCAGUCGCAGACUUCUUUGGAAGUGGAAGUCCCUGCAGUGGCCUCAACUUGGAGUGGGCCACAUUUUUCUCCAGAACAUAAAGAACUGUCUAAUUCUCCCUCGAGGGAGAAUAGUUUUGGGUCACCUUUAGAAUUUAGAAACUCAGGCCCUGUUGCAGAAAUGAAUACUGGAUUUUCUCCUGAAGUUAAAGAAGAUUUGAAUGGAUCUUUUCCUAAUCAGCUGGAGACAGAUCCAUUUGUAGAUCUGAAGGAACAAUCAACAAGGUCCUCUAGACGCAGUAGUUCUGAGUUAUCCCCAGAUGCAGUGGGAAAAGCAGGAGUGUCUUCAUAUCAGAGUGUUUCUUCACCAGUACUUGAUGCAGUACCCAGAACACCAUCAAGGGAAAGAAGUAGCUCUGCAUCUCCUGAACUGAAAGAUGGCUUACCCAGAACCCCUUCAAGGAGAAGCAGGUCUGGGUCUUCUCCAGGACUGAGAGAUGGGUCUGGGACUCCCUCAAGACACAGCUUAUCUGGGUCCUCUCCUGGAAUGAAAGAUAUACCUAGAACACCAUCCAGGGGGAGAAGCGAAUGUGAUUCUUCUCCAGAACCAAAAGCUUUGCCUCAGACUCCCAGGCCAAGAAGUCGUUCACCAUCAUCCCCAGAGCUCAACAACAAGUGUCUUACCCCCCAGAGAGAAAGAAGUGGGUCAGAAUCCUCAGUUGAACAGAAGGCUGUGGCUAGGACUCCGCUUGGUCAGAGAAGUCGAUCUGGAUCUUCUCAAGAACUUGAUGGGAAACCAAGUGCAUCCCCUCAAGAAAGAAGUGAAUCAGACUCUUCUCCAGAUUCUAAAGCUAAGACACGAGUACCGCUUAGAGAAAGGAGUCGAUCUGGGUCAUCUCCAGAAGUCGAGAGCAAAUCCCGACCUUCUCCUCGGCGCAGUAGAUCUGGCUCAUCUCCUGAAGUUAAAGAUAAGCCAAGAGCAGCACCCAGGGCACAGAGUGGUUCUGAUUCCUCUCCUGAACCCAAGGCUCCUGCCCUUCGGGCUCUUCCCAGACAAAGCAGGUCAGGUUCAUCAAGCAAAGGCAGAGGCCCUUCUCCUGAAGGAAGCAGUAGUUCAGAGUCGUCUCCAGAACACCCACCCAAAUCCAGAACUGCUAGAAGAAGCUCUAGGUCCUCACCAGAGCCCAAGACCAAGUCCCGUACUCCACCUCGCCGUCGCAGCUCUCGAUCCUCUCCUGAACUCACUAGGAAGGCCAGACUCUCUCGAAGAAGCCGCUCUGCAUCCUCAUCACCAGAAACCCGUUCUAGAACUCCCCCAAGACGCCGAAGAAGUCCUUCAGUCUCUUCCCCAGAGCCAGCUGAAAAGUCGAGAUCCUCACGCCGCCGGCGCUCAGCUUCAUCCCCACGUGCUAAGACAACUUCAAGGAGAGGCCGUUCUCCUUCACCAAAGCCCCGUGGGCUCCAGAGGUCCCGUUCCCGCUCAAGGAGGGAGAAAACCAGAACAACUAGACGUCGAGAUAGGUCUGGAUCUUCUCAGUCAACCUCUCGGAGAAGACAGCGUAGCCGGUCAAGGUCUCGGGUCACUCGUCGGCGGAGAGGAGGCUCUGGUUACCACUCAAGGUCUCCCGCCCGGCAGGAGAGUUCCCGAACUUCUUCCCGACGCCGAAGAGGCCGUUCACGGACACCCCCGACCAGUCGGAAGCGGUCCCGCUCACGUACCUCACCAGCCCCAUGGAAACGUUCAAGGUCUAGGGCCUCUCCCGCCACUCACCGGCGAUCCCGGUCCAGAACACCUCUGGUCAGCCGCCGUAGGUCCAGGUCUCGAACCUCACCGGUCAGUCGGAGACGAUCAAGGUCCAGGACAUCAGUGACUCGACGAAGAUCUCGAUCCAGAGCAUCCCCAGUGAGUCGAAGGCGAUCCAGGUCUAGAACACCACCGGUAACCCGCCGUCGUUCAAGGUCCAGAACACCGACACGCCGGCGCUCCCGUUCUAGAACUCCACCAGUGACCCGAAGAAGGUCUAGAUCUAGGACACCACCAGUAACCAGGAGGCGAUCUCGAAGCAGAACUUCCCCAAUCACUCGAAGAAGAUCGAGAUCCAGAACAUCCCCAGUUGCCCGUAGAAGAUCUAGAUCUCGCACGUCUCCAGUAACUCGAAGGAGGUCCCGCUCUCGAACCUCUCCAGUGACACGCCGCCGUUCUCGGUCCCGAACACCUCCAGCUAUUCGGCGCCGCUCUAGGUCUCGGACCCCACUGUUGCCACGCAAACGUUCUCGAAGUCGCUCUCCACUUGCUAUCCGCCGCCGUUCUAGAUCCCGUACUCCGCGAACAACUCGGGGCAAACGGUCCUUAACGAGAUCUCCUCCUGCCAUCCGAAGGCGUUCUGCAUCUGGAAGUAGUUCUGAUCGUUCACGUUCUGCUAGUCCCCCGGCAACAAGGAAUCAUUCUGGUUCUCGGACACCUCCAGUAGCACUCAAUAGCUCCAGAAUGAGCUGCUUCAGUCGUCCUAGCAUGUCACCAACACCUCUGGACCGCUGUCGAUCACCUGGAAUGCUUGAACCCCUUGGCAGCUCUAGAACACCCAUGUCUGUCCUGCAGCAAGCUGGUGGCUCCAUGAUGGAUGGUCCAGGUCCCCGAAUUCCUGAUCACCCAAGAACAUCCGUGCCAGAAAAUCAUGCACAGUCUAGAAUUGCACUUGCCUUGACAGCCAUCAGUCUUGGCACUGCUCGGCCGCCUCCAUCCAUGUCUGCUGCUGGCCUUGCUGCAAGAAUGUCCCAGGUUCCAGCUCCAGUGCCUCUCAUGAGUCUCAGAACGGCCCCAGCUGCAAGCCUUGCCAGUAGGAUUCCUGCAGCCUCUGCAGCAGCCAUGAACCUGGCCAGUGCCAGGACACCUGCCAUACCAACAGCAGUGAACCUGGCUGACUCGAGAACACCAGCUGCGGCAGCAGCCAUGAACUUGGCCAGCCCCAGAACAGCAGUGGCACCUUCUGCUGUGAACCUUGCUGACCCUCGCACCCCUACAGCCCCAGCUGUGAAUCUAGCAGGAGCCAGAACCCCAGCUGCUUUGGCAGCUUUGAGUCUCACCGGCUCUGGCACACCCCCAACUGCUGCAAACUAUCCCUCCAGCUCCAGAACACCCCAGGCCGCAGCCCCUGCAAACCUGGUGGGUCCUAGAUCUGCACAUGCCACAGCUCCUGUGAAUAUUGCCAGUUCAAGAACCCCUCCUGCCUUGGCACCUGCAAGCCUCACCAGUGCUAGAAUGGCUCCGGCCUUGUCUGGUGCAAACCUUACCAGCCCCAGGGUGCCCCUCUCUGCCUAUGAGCGCGUUAGUGGCAGAACCUCACCACCGCUUCUUGACAGAGCCAGAUCAAGAACCCCGCCGGGAGGCCCAGGCUCCAGAACCCCACCAUCUGCCCUGAGCCAGUCUAGAAUGACCUCUGAGCGGGCUCCCUCUCCUGCCUCUAGAAUGGUCCAGGCUCCCUCACAGUGUGUUCUCCCUCCAGCUCAGGAUAGACCUAGGUCCCCUGUGCCAUCAUCUGCUUUUUCUGACCAGUCCCGAGCUUUGCUUUCCCAGACCCCCCCUGUAGCAGGGUCUCAGUCCCUUUCCUCUGGGACAGUGGCCAAGACCACGUCCUCCGCUGGUGACCACAAUGGCAUGCUCUCUGGCCCUGUCCCUGGGAUGUCCCAUCCUGAGGGGGGGGAACCACCUGCCUCCACGGGGGCCCAGCAGCCUUCCCCGUUGGCCACCCUGCAGCCAGCAAAGGAGCGGCGGAGUUCCUCCUCCUCCUCCUCCUCCAGCUCCUCCUCGUCGUCAUCCUCGUCCUCGUCCUCCUCCUCCUCCUCCUCCUCUGGUUCCAGUUCUAGCGACUCGGAGGGCUCUAGCCUUCCUGCUCAACCUGAGGUAGCAGUGAAGAGGGUGCCCAGCCCAGCCCCAGCCCCAAAGGAGGCUGUUCGAGAGGGGCGUCCUCAGGAGCUGACCCCAGCCAAGCGGAAGAGGCGCUCUAGUAGCUCCAGUUCCAGCUCCUCUUCCUCCUCCUCCUCCUCCUCCUCUUCCUCCUCCUCUUCCUCCUCCUCUUCCUCUUCCUCCUCCUCCUCCUCUUCCUCCUCUUCGACUUCUUCCUCCCCCUCCCCUGCUAAGCCUGGCCCUCAGGCCUUGCCCAAACCUGCAAGCCCCAAGAAGCCACCCCCUGGCGAGCGGAGCCUCUUCCCUGUCUCCCUGCCUCCACGCCAUUCUCUUCCACACGUAGCCAGAGGGAUCUUUCUAAAACGCACAUCUGGUUACUUCCCUUCACUCCACAAAUCCUUCCGGGACGCCCUGUGGCCUGCAGGAUAAAGCCCCACCUCUGCGGGAAUGGCGUGUGAGGCUCUUCACCAACUGGCCUUGCCUGCCCUGUGUUCUCCUCUCCUGCCCGCCCCCACACAUGCCCUGUGCUCCAGCCACACCCAGCGCCUUGCAGUCUAAGGAGAACCCCAUGCCUUUGGACAUGCUGUUCCUUCUGCCUGGAAUUCCCUUGUCCGCCUGGUGAACUCCUCGUUCUGCAAGACUCCGCUCAAACAGCACCUUCGAGAAGACUACCCUGCCCCUUCCCUGCCCCACAUCCCCUCCCCCCGGGUCCCCAGACCCAUUGUACAUCGGUCCUUGUGGGGCUGCUUCCCAUACACGGGGCCAAGUGGGCCUCCCUUCACCACCAGACUGAGCCCCUCCAAGGGCAGGGACUGUCUUUUAUCUUUGCAUCCCCCGCUGCACCCCGUGCCCUGCCAAUUGGGGCACUCGGUGGAUGGUGUGCGGGCGGAUGGGUGAGUGAGCAGACAAAGGUGGGUCUGAGGCUGGCCCUGUGUGGUAUGAGGUUUGGUGGUCAGGACCUGGGGGGUGGUCCUGAGUGCCGGCUGGUGGGUUUGGAAGACUCUGGUGCUAUGGGGUCUUACUCUGCUCUCUAGGUCCCGUAGCCCCCGGAAGCCAAUAGACUCCCUCCGAGACUCUCGGUCCCUCAGCUACUCGCCUGCGGAGCGCCGCCGCCCCUCACCCCAGCCCUCGCCACGGGACCAGCAGAGCAGUGAGCGGGGUUCCCGCAGAGGCCAGCGUGGGG